rnacentral:rRNA from 1 species
UACAGAGGGGGCAAGCGUUGUUCGGAAUUACUGGGCGUAAAGGGCGCGUAGGCGGCCUGCUAAGUCGAACGUGAAAUCCCCGAGCUCAACUCGGGAACUGCGUCCGAUACUGGCAGGCUUGAAUCCGGGAGAGGGAUGCGGAAUUCCAGGUGUAGCGGUGAAAUGCGUAGAUAUCUGGAGGAAUACCGGUGGCGAAGGCGGCAUCCUGGACCGGCAUUGACGCUGAGGAGCGAAAGCUAGGGGAGCAAACAGG